UAGGGAAUAUUGGGCAAUGGAGGAAACUCUGACCCAGCCAUGCCGCGUGCAGGAUGACGGCCCUCUGGGUUGUAAACUGCUUUUAUACGGGAAGAAAAAAUAGUACGUGUACUAUACUGACGGUACCGUAAGAAUAAGGAUCGGCUAACUCCGUGCCAGCAGCCGCGGUAAUACGGAGGAUCCAAGCGUUGUCCGGAUUUAUUGGGUUUAAAGGGUGCGUAGGCGGAUUUUUAAGUCAGUGGUGAAAGCC
rnacentral:rRNA from 1 species